rnacentral:rRNA from 1 species
GACGAACGCUGGCGGCGUGCUUAACACAUGCAAGUCGAACGGAAAGGCCCUGCUUUUGUGGGGUGCUCGAGUGGCGAACGGGUGAGUAACACGUGAGUAACCUGCCCUUGACUUUGGGAUAACUUCAGGAAACUGGGGCUAAUACCGGAUAGGAGCUCCUGCUGCAUGGUGGGGGUUGGAAAGUUUCGGCGGUUGGGGAUGGACUCGCGGCUUAUCAGCUUGUUGGUGGGGUAGUGGCUUACCAAGGCUUUGACGGGUAGCCGGCCUGAGAGGGUGACCGGCCACAUUGGUACUGAGGUACGGCCCAGACUCCUACAGGAGGCAGCAGGGGGGAAUAUUGCACAAUGGGCGGAAGCCUGAUGCAGCAACGCCGCGGGCGGGAUGACGGCCUUCGGGUUGUAAACCGCUUUCGCCUGUGACGAAGCGUGAGUGACGGUAAUGGGUAAAGAAGCACCGGCUAACUACGUG